GUCUACAGCCAUGCCCCCCUGAACAUGCCCAGUCUCCUCCAAUCUUGGAAGCUAAGCAGGAUCAGGCCUGGUUAGUACUUGGAUGAGAGACAAUCUAGGAAGACCAGAUGCUGUAGGCU
ensembl:rRNA 5S_rRNA 5S ribosomal RNA